GGUUAAGCGACUAAGCGUACACGGUGGAUGCCCUGGCAGUCAGAGGCGAUGAAGGGCGUGCUAAUCUGCGAUAAGCGCCGGUAAGGUGAUAUGAACCGUUAUAACCGGCGAUACCCGAAUGGGGAAACCCAGUGUGACUCGUCACACUAUCAUUAACUGAAUCCAUAGGUUAAUGAGGCGAACCGGGGGAACUGAAACAUCUAAGUACCCCGAGGAAAAGAAAUCAACCGAGAUUCCCCCAGUAGCGGCGAGCGAACGGGGAGGAGCCCAGAGCCUGAAUCAGCAUGUGUGUUAGUGGAAGCGUCUGGAAAGGCGCGCGAUACAGGGUGACAGCCCCGUACACAAAAGCGCAUGUGCUGUGAGCUCGAUGAGUAGGGCGGGACACGUGGUAUCCUGUCUGAAUAUGGGGGGACCAUCCUCCAAGGCUAAAUACUCCUGACUGACCGAUAGUGAACCAGUACCGUGAGGGAAAGGCGAAAAGAACCCCGGCGAGGGGAGUGAAAAAGAACCUGAAACCGUGUACGUACAAGCAGUGGGAGCACAGGUUUACCUGUGUGACUGCGUACCUUUUGUAUAAUGGGUCAGCGACUUAUAUUCUGUAGCAAGGUUAACCGAAUAGGGGAGCCGGAGGGAAACCGAGUCUUAAUUGGGCGUUAAGUUGCAGGGUAUAGACCCGAAACCCGGUGAUCUAGCCAUGGGCAGGUUGAAGGUUGGGUAACACUAACUGGAGGACCGAACCGACUAAUGUUGAAAAAUUAGCGGAUGACCUGUGGCUGGGGGUGAAAGGCCAAUCAAACCGGGAGAUAGCUGGUUCUCCCCGAAAGCUAUUUAGGUAGCGCCUCGUGAACUCAUCUCCGGGGGUAGAGCACUGUUUCGGCUAGGGGGCCAUCCCGGCUUACCAACCCGAUGCAAACUGCGAAUACCGGAGAAUGUUAUCACGGGAGACACACGGCGGGUGCUAACGUCCGUCGUGAAGAGGGAAACAACCCAGACCGCCAGCUAAGGUCCCAAAGUCAUGGUUAAGUGGGAAACGAUGUGGGAAGGCCCAGACAGCCAGGAUGUUGGCUUAGAAGCAGCCAUCAUUUAAAGAAAGCGUAAUAGCUCACUGGUCGAGUCGGCCUGCGCGGAAGAUGUAACGGGGCUAAACCAUGCACCGAAGCUGCGGCAGCGACACUGUGUGUUGUUGGGUAGGGGAGCGUUCUGUAAGCCUGUGAAGGUGGCCUGUGAGGGUUGCUGGAGGUAUCAGAAGUGCGAAUGCUGACAUAAGUAACGAUAAAGCGGGUGAAAAGCCCGCUCGCCGGAAGACCAAGGGUUCCUGUCCAACGUUAAUCGGGGCAGGGUGAGUCGACCCCUAAGGCGAGGCCGAAAGGCGUAGUCGAUGGGAAACAGGUUAAUAUUCCUGUACUUGGUGUUACUGCGAAGGGGGGACGGAGAAGGCUAUGUUGGCCGGGCGACGGUUGUCCCGGUUUAAGCGUGUAGGCUGGUUUUCCAGGCAAAUCCGGAAAAUCAAGGCUGAGGCGUGACGACGAGGCACUACGGUGCUGAAGCAACAAAUGCCCUGCUUCCAGGAAAAGCCUCUAAGCAUCAGGUAACAUCAAAUCGUACCCCAAACCGACACAGGUGGUCAGGUAGAGAAUACCAAGGCGCUUGAGAGAACUCGGGUGAAGGAACUAGGCAAAAUGGUGCCGUAACUUCGGGAGAAGGCACGCUGACACGUAGGUGAAGUGAUUUACUCAUGGAGCUGAAGUCAGUCGAAGAUACCAGCUGGCUGCAACUGUUUAUUAAAAACACAGCACUGUGCAAACACGAAAGUGGACGUAUACGGUGUGACGCCUGCCCGGUGCCGGAAGGUUAAUUGAUGGGGUCAGCGCAAGCGAAGCUCCUGAUCGAAGCCCCGGUAAACGGCGGCCGUAACUAUAACGGUCCUAAGGUAGCGAAAUUCCUUGUCGGGUAAGUUCCGACCUGCACGAAUGGCGUAAUGAUGGCCAGGCUGUCUCCACCCGAGACUCAGUGAAAUUGAACUCGCUGUGAAGAUGCAGUGUACCCGCGGCAAGACGGAAAGACCCCGUGAACCUUUACUAUAGCUUGACACUGAACAUUGAGCCUUGAUGUGUAGGAUAGGUGGGAGGCUUUGAAGCGUGGACGCCAGUCUGCGUGGAGCCGACCUUGAAAUACCACCCUUUAAUGUUUGAUGUUCUAACGUGGACCCGUUACCCGGGUUGCGGACAGUGUCUGGUGGGUAGUUUGACUGGGGCGGUCUCCUCCUAAAGAGUAACGGAGGAGCACGAAGGUUGGCUAAUCCUGGUCGGACAUCAGGAGGUUAGUGCAAUGGCAUAAGCCAGCUUGACUGCGAGCGUGACGGCGCGAGCAGGUGCGAAAGCAGGUCAUAGUGAUCCGGUGGUUCUGAAUGGAAGGGCCAUCGCUCAACGGAUAAAAGGUACUCCGGGGAUAACAGGCUGAUACCGCCCAAGAGUUCAUAUCGACGGCGGUGUUUGGCACCUCGAUGUCGGCUCAUCACAUCCUGGGGCUGAAGUAGGUCCCAAGGGUAUGGCUGUUCGCCAUUUAAAGUGGUACGCGAGCUGGGUUUAGAACGUCGUGAGACAGUUCGGUCCCUAUCUGCCGUGGGCGCUGGAGAACUGAGGGGGGCUGCUCCUAGUACGAGAGGACCGGAGUGGACGCAUCACUGGUGUUCGGGUUGUCAUGCCAAUGGCACUGCCCGGUAGCUAAAUGCGGAAGAGAUAAGUGCUGAAAGCAUCUAAGCACGAAACUUGCCCCGAGAUGAGUUCUCCCUGAGACUUAGAGUCUCCUGAAGGAACGUUGAAGACGACGACGUUGAUAGGCCGGGUGUGUAAGCGCAGCGAUGCGUUGAGCUAACCGGUACUAAUGAACCGUGAGGCUUAACCUU
rnacentral:rRNA from 1 species